rnacentral:rRNA from 1 species
GUGAGGAAUAUUGCGCAAUGGGGGCAACCCUGACGCAGCAACGCCGCGUGAGUGAGGAAGGUCUUCGGAUCGUAAAGCUCUGUCGGGUGGGAAGAAGUGUAUAUAAGUUAAUAGCUUGUGUACUUGACGGUACCGCCAAAGGAAGCACCGGCUAACUCCGUGCCAGCAGCCGCGGUAAUACGGGGGGUGCAAGCGUUGUUCGGAAUCAUUGGGCGUAAAGAGCGUGUAGGCGGCUAGGCAAGUCAGAUGUGAAAUCCCUGGGCUUAACCCAGGAAGUGCAUUUGAAACUGCUUAGCUUGAGUAAGGAAGAGGGAAGUGGAAUUCCUGGUGUAGAGGUGAAAUUCGUAGAUAUCAGGAGGAACACCGGUGGCGAAGGCGACUUCCUGGUCCUAUACUGACGCUGAGACGCGAGAGCGUGGGGAGCAAACAGGAUUAGAAACCCUGGUAGUCC